UACGGAGGGUGCGAGCGUUGUCCGGAAUCAUUGGGCGUAAAGAGCGUGUAGGCGGUCAGGUAGGUCCGUUGUGAAAACUCGAGGCUCAACCUCGAGACGCCGAUGGAAACCAUCUGGCUAGAGUCCGGAAGAGGAGAGUGGGAAUUCCUGGUGUAGCGGUGAAAUGCGCAGAUAUCAGGAAGAACACCCGUGGCUAAGGCGGCUCUCUAGUACGGUACUGACGCUGAGACGCGAAAAGCGUGGGGGAGCGAAACAGG
rnacentral:rRNA from 1 species